UUAGGAAUAUUCGUCAAUGGGGGAAACCCUGAACGAGCAAUGCCGCGUGAGUGAUGAAGGUCUUUUAGAUUGUAAAACUCUGUUGUAUGGGAAGAAUGUUUAGAAUAGGAAAUGAUUCUAGAAUGACGGUACCAUACCAGAAAGCCCCGGCUAACUACGUGCCAGCAGCCGCGGUAAUACGUAGGGGGCAAGCGUUAUCCGGAUUUAUUGGGCGUAAAGCGUGUGUAGGCGGUUUGUUAAGUUUAUAAUUAAAACCUGAGGCUCAACCUCAGGUAGUUAUAAAAACUGGCAGACUGGAGUGUAGUAGAGGCAAAUGGAAUUUCUAGUGUAGCGGUUAAAUGCGUAGAUAUUAGAAGGAACACCAGUGGCGAAGGCGAUUUGCUGGGCUAUUACUGACGCUGAGACACGAAAGCGUGGGGAGCAAAUAGG
rnacentral:rRNA from 1 species